rnacentral:ncRNA from 2 species
AAAUCAUCUUCGGGGCGCUGACGGGCAUUCGUCGGCUGAGAAGCACUCGAGGAACUUGACGCGGAUAAUGCCGACGAAAGGAAAGGUGAUGCUGAACGC